AAACCAAUCCAGCUCGCUGGGUCUUGGGCUCUCGCCUCCGGGCGGGCCUUGAAAUCAGUGGCGGCGCCAUCCGGCUCUAAGCGUAGUAAUACUCCUCGCUACAGAGCUCCGGGUGGAGGCUUGCCAGCAACCCCUAAUUCUAUAA
rnacentral:misc_RNA from 1 species